rnacentral:rRNA from 1 species
UACGAAGGGGGCUAGCGUUGCUCGGAAUUACUGGGCGUAAAGCGCACGUAGGCGGCUUGUUAAGUCAGGGGUGAAAUCCUGGAGCUCAACUCCAGAACUGCCUUUGAUACUGGCGAGCUUGAGUUUCGGGAGAGGUGAGUGGAACUGCGAGUGUAGAGGUGAAAUUCGUAGAUAUUCGCAAGAACACCAGUGGCGAAGGCGGCUCACUGGCCCGAUACUGACGCUGAGGCACGAAAGCGUGGGGAGCAAACAGGG